GAAAUAAGAUUUUAAAUGAGUGCUAAGAGAAUGAUUAAACAAUUAAAAGCUUUCUUUAAUUAAAAAAUUAAAUUUAAUUUUUUAGUGCAAAAGCAAAAAUAAAAUUUAGGGACAAGAAGACCCUAUGAAUUUUUAUUGUUAAUAAUUAAGAUUUAAGUUAUUAAUAAUUUAAUUGGGGCGAUAAAAAAAGAAUAAGUAUCUUUUUAGUUAUAAAAUAAGUUCCGUUUUUAGCGAUUAAAUGAAAUAAAUACUCUAGGGAUAACAGCGUAAUAAUUUUGGAUAGUUCAUAUAGAUAAAAUAGUUUGCGACCUCGAUGUUGGAUUAGGAUUCUU
rnacentral:rRNA from 1 species